rnacentral:rRNA from 1 species
AGGAUGAACGCUGGCGGCGUGCCUAACACAUGCAAGUCGAACGUCCUGUCUCGCAAGAGGCAGGGAGUGGCGGACGGGUGAGUACCACGUGGGUUAUCUACCGUGAGGUGAGGAAUACCGGCGAGAAAUCGCCGACAAGACCGCAUAGCCUCGGUGCAAGCCGAGGAAAGCUUUCUCGAGAGAGGGAGCGCCACACGAGGAGCCUGCGCCCGAUUAGCUAGCUGGUGGAGUAACGGUUCACCAGGGCGACGAUCGGUAGCUGGUCUGAGAGGACGAUCAGCCACACUGGGAUUGAGAACGGCCCAGACUCCUACGGGGGGCAGCAGUGAGGAAUUUUCCGCAAUGGGCGCAAGCCUGACGGAGCAACGCCGCGUGCAGGACGACGGCCUUCGGGUUGUAAACUGCUUUUCGUGGGGACGAGCAAGGACGGUACCCCAGGAAUCAGCCCGGCUAACUACGUGCCAGCAGCCGCGGU